rnacentral:rRNA from 1 species
CCUACGGGGGGCAGCAGUGAGGAAUCUUGGUCAAUGGGCGCGAGCCUGAACCAGCCAAGUAGCGUGAAGGAUGACUGCCCUACGGGUUGUAAGCUUCUUUUAUAAAGGAAUAAAGUGAGGCACGUGUGCCUUUUUGUAUGUACUUUAUGAAUAAGGAUCGGCUAAAUCCGGGCCAUCAGCCGCGGUAAUACGGAGGGUCCGAGCGUUAUCCGGAUUUAUUGGGUGUAAAGGGAGCGUAGAUGGGUUGUUAAGUCAGUUGUGAAAGUUUGCGGCUCAACCGUAAAAUUGCAAUUGAUACUGGCAGUCUUGAGUACAGUUGAGGUAGGCGGAAUUCGUGGUGUAGCGGUGAAAUGCGUAGAUAUCACGAAGAACUCCGAUUGCGAAGGCAGCUUACUAAACUGCCACUGACAUUGAUGCUCGAAAGUGUGGGUAUCAAACAGGAUUAGAUACCCUUGUAGUC